rnacentral:rRNA from 1 species
GUGGGGAAUCUUGCGCAAUGGGCGAAAGCCUGACGCAGCCAUGCCGCGUGAAUGAUGAAGGUCUUAGGAUUGUAAAAUUCUUUCACCGGGGACGAUAAUGACGGUACCCGGAGAAGAAGCUCCGGCUAACUUCGUGCCAGCAGCCGCGGUAAUACGAAGGGGGCUAGCGUUGCUCGGAAUUACUGGGCGUAAAGGGCGCGUAGGCGGACAGCUUAGUCAGAGGUGAACGCCCAGGGCUCAACCUUGGAAUUGCCUUUGAUACUGGCUGUCUUGAGUUUGGGAGAGGUGAGUGGAACUCCGAGUGUAGAGGUGAAAUUCGUAGAUAUUCGGAAGAACACCAGUGGCGAAGGCGACUCACUGGCCCAAUACUGACGCUGAGGCGCGAAAGCGUGGGGAGCAAACAGGAUUAGAAACCCGGGUAGUCC